rnacentral:rRNA from 1 species
UACAGAGGGGGCAAGCGUUGUUCGGAAUUACUGGGCGUAAAGGGCGCGUAGGCGGCCUUCUAAGUCGAACGUGAAAUCCCUGGGCUCAACCCAGGAACUGCAUCCGAUACUGGAUGGCUUGAAUCCGGGAGAGGGAUGCAGAAUUCCAGGUGUAGCGGUGAAAUGCGUAGAUAUCGGAAGGAACAUCAGUGGCGAAAGCGGCUUCCUGGACCAGUACCGACGUUCAGGCACGAAAGCGUGGGGAGCAAACAGG